AUGGCCUCCUUCCCCUCCCCCUCCGUCGUCGCCGCGGCAGCGGCCGCGCCCCCGCGCCUCGCCCCGGGCCUCUCCCUCUCCGCCGCCGCGGUGCACCACUCCUCCCACGCCUUCCGCCCGCGCGCCUCCCUCGCCCUGCGCCCCUCCGCCACCGCCGCGCCGGCCAACCCCCUCCGCUGCUCGCACCGCCGCGCCGUCACGCCCAGGUCGAGGAGGCGGACGCAAGGGCUCGGCGCGGCGUCAGCGUCGGCCGCUGGGAUUCUCGGCGAGGAGAGGGACGGGUGCCUCUCGUGCUUCCCGAGGAGCCGGAGGCGGGGGCGGCCGGGGCUCGCCAGGUUCGCGCCCUGCGCGCUCCCGCACACCUCGGGCUUAUCGCUGCACAGCCAGUGGAGCGGGCCUAAGACCAGGCGUAGUCAUAUAUUACGUGCUGCUGGACCUGACGAACCACAUGUUGCAAGUCCAACAUGGUCUGAGACGGCUCUUGAUAAACCUUAUGAUCCCACGGUUACGAACGGGGCGCUUGAAGAUGUCCUGGACACUCCUCUUCCGUCCCAUCCAAAGCUAAUACGUGGUCAAUUGAAGAAUGGCCUCAGAUAUCUUAUUUUACCUAAUAAAGUUCCAGCGGACAGGUUUGAGGCUCACAUGGAAGUUCAUGUCGGAUCAAUUGACGAGGAAGAGGACGAGCAGGGAAUUGCACAUAUGAUCGAGCAUGUUGCAUUUCUUGGGAGUAAAAAGCGUGAGAAACUCUUGGGGACAGGUGCAAGGUCUAAUGCAUAUACAGACUUCCACCAUACAGUCUUCCAUAUCCAUUCUCCAACUAAAACAAAGGAAUAUGGUGAAUCCUUACUCCCUUCUGUGUUGGAUGCUUUGAAUGAGAUAGCUUUUCAUCCUAAGUUCUCAUCGUCUCGCGUUGAGAAAGAGAGAAGAGCAAUUCUUUCAGAGCUCCAGAUGAUGAACACAAUCGAAUACCGUGUUGAUUGCCAGUUGUUGCAACAUUUACACUCCGAAAACAAAUUGAGCAACAGAUUUCCUAUUGGACUUGAGGAGCAAAUACUUAAAUGGGAUCCUGAUAAGAUCCGCAGAUUCCAUGAGCGAUGGUAUUACCCUGCCAAUGCCACUUUAUACCUGGUAGGAGAAAUUGAUGAUAUUCCCAGAGCAGUGCGGGAGAUAGAGGCUGUGUUCGAACAUACACUUUCAGGAAACGAAGCAGCCCCUAUGUCGUCUGGAAGUCCGUUUGGUGCUAUGGCAAGCCUCUUUGCACCAAAGCUACCAGGUGGCUUGGCCGCAAGCCUAACUGGUGAAAGAUCACCUGCCACAGAUAAACUAAAACCUAUAAAAAGGGAAAGACAGGCAGUCAGACCUCCUGUAGAGCAUAAAUGGUCUCUUCCUGAGGUUGAUCAGGCUGCCAAGCCUCCAGUGAUUUUUCAACAUGAGUUGAUUCAGAGCUUCUCUAUUAACAUGUUCUGCAAGAUACCCGUCAACCAAGUUCGUACAUACAAAGACCUGCGCAGUGUACUGAUGAAACGGAUAUUUUUAUCUGCUCUGCACUUCCGAAUAAAUACACGAUACAAGAGCUCAAAUCCUCCCUUUACAUCAGUUGAGUUGGAUCACAGUGACUCAGGAAGGGAAGGAUGCACUGUCACUACUCUAACAGUAACAGCUGAACCCCAAAAUUGGAAGAGUGCCAUCAAAGUUGCUGUUCAUGAGGUUCGGAGACUCAAGGAGUUUGGUGUCACAAUGGGAGAAAUGACCCGUUAUAUGGAUGCACUGAUAAAAGAUAGUGAGCAGCUGGCUAUGAUGAUUGAUAGUGUUCCCUCAGUUGAUAACUUGGACUUCAUUAUGGAGAGUGAUGCACUUGGCCAUACAGUCAUGGAUCAGUUGCAGGGACAUGAUAGUUUGCUUGGGGUUGCCGAAACUGUCACACUUGAAGAGGUUAACACCGUUGGUGCAGAAGUACUUGAAUUUAUUUCGGACUUUGGGAAGCCCAGUGCACCACUUCCUGCUGCUAUUGUGGCGUGUGUACCUAAAAAGGUCCAUAUCGAUGGAGUAGGUGAAAGUAGUUUUGAGAUAUGCCCAGAAGAAAUAACCGAGUCCAUGAAGGCAGGUCUUGAAGAACCCAUUUACCCAGAGCCUGAGCUUGAGGUGCCAAAAGAGUUGAUUACUCAAUCAGAACUUGAAGACUUGAAAGUGCAACACCGACCAUCAUUUGUUCCUUUCAAAGAGGAUGAUGUGGCGAAAGUAUUUGACAAUGAAACCGGUAUAACACAACGUCGCCUUUCUAAUGGAAUUUCCGUCAACUACAAGAUCACGCAAAAUGAGGCAAGGGUUGGUGUCAUGCGGCUGAUAGUAGGUGGCGGGAGAGCCACCGAAGAUUCUGAAUCGAAGGGAUCUGUUAUCGUUGGUGUUCGUACUUUGAGUGAAGGUGGCUGUGUUGGUAACUUUUCGAGGGAACAGGUUGAACUUUUCUGUGUGAAUAAUCUUAUAAACUGCUCGCUGGAAUCCAAUGAGGAGUUCAUAUUUAUGGAAUUUAGGUUUGCUUUGAGAGAUAAUGGCAUGCGUGCUGCUUUCCAGCUCCUCCAUAUGGUCCUUGAGCAUAAUGUGUGGCUAGAAGAUGCAUUCGAUAGAGCUGCUCAACUAUAUUUGUCUUACUACCGGUCUAUUCCCAAAAGUUUGGAACGUGCCACGGCUCACAAACUUAUGGUAGCCAUGUUGAACCAUGAUGAAAGGUUUGUAGAACCAUCACCACAUUCAUUGGAGAAGUUGACUCUUCAAUCAGUUAAAGAAGCUGUCAUGAACCAGUUUGUGGGUAGCAACAUGGAGGUCAGUGUAGUUGGUGAUUUCACAGAAGAAGAGGUAGAAUCUUGUGUUCUUGAUUAUCUUGGGACUGUAAGCGCUGCAAAAUCUUCAAACAAAGAGGAACAUAUUGAGAAGAUUUCCUUCCUGCCAUCCCCAUCGGAUCUGCAUUUCCAGCAAGUAUACAUAAAGGAUACAGAUGAGAGAGCUUGUGCAUACAUUGCAGGCCCGGCACCUAACCGAUGGGGGUUUGCUACUGAAGGAAAAGAUCUCUUCAAUGGCAUUCGAAGUUCCAGCGCAGAUGCAGAAAUCUCUGCACCGGCUAACUCGGGGAAGACACAUAUUAACGUUCGCAACCAUCCUCUUUUCUUUGGCAUCGCUUUGAGUUUGCUGGCUGAAAUUAUAAAUUCCAGGCUAUUUACAACAGUGCGAGAUUCAAUGGGAUUAACCUACGAUGUUUCUUUUGAAUUAAAUCUUUUUGACAAACUGGAUCUUGGUUGGUAUGUGAUCGCGGUAACUUCAACUCCGAGCAAGGUCCAUAAGGCUGUUGAUGCGUGCAAAGGUGUUCUCAGAGGUUUACAUCACAACAAAAUUGUUGAAAGGGAGCUGGAUCGGGCAAAGAGGACACUGCUGAUGAAACAUGAGGCAGAGACAAAAACAAAUGCCUAUUGGCUUGGUUUGCUAGCCCAUCUGCAGUCUACAUCCGUGCCGAGAAAGGAUAUAUCCUGUAUUAAGGAAUUGACAACAUUGUAUGAAAGUGCCACAAUUGAGGACUUGUAUCUUGCAUAUGAGCACUUGAAAGUUGACGAUUCAUCUUUAUUUGCCUGCAUCGGGAUUGCUGGUGCUGAAUCUGGUGAAGAAGUGAACGCAGAUGAUGAGCCUGAGUUGGGGCUUCCUGGUAUGGUUCCCAUGGGAGGUCGGGGUCUAUCUACUAUGACCAGACCAACCACAUGA
rnacentral:rRNA from 1 species